rnacentral:lncRNA from 1 species
AGCGAGGCCACCGAGUGUCCAGGAUGGUGCGGGGGAGCAAGGCGACGGUCUCUCCACCUUCCUUAACCCUCCUUUCACCUCCUCCUGCUCAGUGCUCGGCUUCUCUUAAUGCAGGUGGUUUUUAUUCCGAGAGCCAAAUUGCUAGCUUGAUAGUGGGUUCACCUGCUCCACUGGCAAGAGCCUGUCCUUUAUCCAUCUUAUCAGGGCUUUCAACUAAAUACGCAUACUCAAUAUUAAUCGACAACAAAUACCAAUAAAAAUGCAUCUGACAAAUGCACAGUAGACUAUGGAGCCUGGGCUGCCUGGCCGGGAUGCCCUCUGCCUCCUGCUGGUGAGAACAGCCCGCAGCAGCCGUGGGGGAGGGGGGGUUAAACUAAUGCUCCAGCCUGGGUUCCAGCAUCUCUAAGAAGCAGAUCUCCAUAUCCACUUCCUGCAGUUGUCUGGGGGUUAAUGAGUGGACACAUCUGAAGCUCUGCCGACAAUGCCUGCCACAUGGGAAUCCUGAAAAACGUAGCUGUUAUCAAAAGUACUCCUUCAAACAUAACUGAGUACCUGAGACCCUCUUGUCAUCUGUCGCAGCAGUGUGCACGGAUAGAGUGUCAGACUCAUUUCCUCAAUGCAACGGCCUUAAGAAGCAGACGUAGGCUAUCCACACUGUGUAAGUUGUAGACCCCCCCCAAAAAAAAAAAACAGACAGGGAUUGGCAGACCUCAACCUAUGAGCCCGGGGCCUGAUUUUCUACAAGUGAGCCCAGGCAGCUUUCUCCCCAUGUAUUUUAGAACAGCAGGUCCUUACCCAUUUGAAUAUCUACAUCACAGGACUUUAGGAAGUACCACAGAACAGAGUGGAAAAGUUCAGGUCCUGCUUAGCCUAAUCCUCCCUGGCAUACCAUCCCCCCAAAUGUUUUUAAGCAAAUCUCAGACGUCACAUCAUUUCUUCCAUAGAUAUUUAAUGAUGUACCUGUGGAAUCUUAGAAUUCUUUUGAAAUAUAACCUCAAUGCUAUCAAGACACUUAAAAAUGAAAAAAAAAAGCAAUACUGUAAAUCAUUGAAUACCCAGUAGGUGUUUAUAUUUUCCUUCUUUUCUCUUAAAUUUUGUCUGAUUUAUGAUUUUCCCAUAAGUCCUCAUAUGGCACUUGAUGGAUUUAUCUCCUAAUCUAUGUUCAUGUAUAAGCCUUGCCUCUUUUUUCUCUCUGCAUUUUGGUUGUUGAAGGAACUGGAUUAUUUGUUCUGAACAGAUUUUUAUAGCCCAGGAUUGAGCCAAACCACCAGCUUCUCUGAUUCCUGCUUGCAGACAAACUGUGGUGGGAUCCCCAGCCUCUGUGACCCUGGGGUCCCAUCCCCCAGGAAGUCCCCUCCCAUGUACCCUGCUGGUCUGUAUGCCUGAACAAGCCUUGCACACUUAGUCACAUUUCUGUUUCUUUUCAGAGGACAAAGCUUACACAUAUGUGUGGUCCCCCACCACACACCACCCAAGGAUGGAGUACACUGUAAGUUCACACUGGCUGCUGACUGAAUCAAAGUUGGAACUGUUGUUCUUACUCACCUCAUCAAGCUCACCACUGGAUCUCAAUUCUCUAGGCUGAAACAGCAGUCCUCCUUGACGAUAGUGUAAUUGUGAGUUAUCUCAGCCACUCUUCUUCACACUCACAAUAUAAUAAUAUGAUCUCAGAAUAGCUACAUCAAUAUCACCACCAACAAUGAUUAUUGAAAAGAGGUAAAGAAUUUCCCCAGUUCUUAUCUAACCUGGUAGGGAGAUCAGUAGACCUUCUGGCUUUUCUUCUCUGUGUGCCCAUGCUACCUGAUCAACAGCUUGUCAAUUUCAUGGUUUUCAGUUUCCUUUUGAUUUUUAAGAAUUGCCUUUCUAACUGUGGUUUUGUUUAAGGCCAUGUUAAGUAUCACACGAGCUCGUGUCAAUGUACGUGGUGAAGCACGCUCAGGGAAGAGUCGCUUCUCUCCUGCCUUUUGUGUCUCUUCCUUCCAUUCGUCUUCCAGGUGCUUUUUUAAAAUAUUAAAACCAAACACAUUUGCAUAGAUACACAUGUGUGUUUACAUGCACAAAACUUCCCUUCUGAGCAGGUAAAUAUACUAUAAGUAAAGCACGUGGAAACAUUCCUGCUGCUUCCCACAGCCCUAAGUGACCCAUUGUGAGGAUGUCCCAUGGUUUACUCAGCAAGACCUAUUGCAGGACACUGGCCCUUCCCAUUCCUCCCCAUCAAACCUGCAAGGAACAAGUGUGUAUGUACAAAGUGCUUUGCGGGAUCCAUUCCUGGGAAUGAGAUUCCUUGGUCAAAGAUAAAUACAUGCAUCAUUGUGCUAAUAUGCUCAAUUCCCUUUUAUUAGGUUAAUGUCACUUUUCUAUUUUCAUCAAUGUGUGAUACUUGGUGUUUUUUCCCUAUUUUGUUUUACUAUUCUCUUAUUUUGCUAAGGUAGGGAAGGGAUAGGACGCUGAAAAUAAGUAUAAUAAAUAUUAC